UACAGAGGUCUCAAGCGUUGUUCGGAUUCAUUGGGCGUAAAGGGUGCGUAGGCGGCGCGGUAAGUCGGGGUGUGAAAUCUUGGAGCUUAACUCCGAAACUGCAUUCGAUACUGCCGUGCUUGAGGACUGGAGAGGAGACUGGAAUUUACGGUGUAGCGGUGAAAUGCGUAGAUAUCGUAAGGAAGACCAGUGGCGAAGGCGGGUCUCUGGACAGUUCCUGACGCUGAGGCACGAAGGCCAGGGGGAGCAAAACGGGG
rnacentral:rRNA from 1 species